UCUUCCGUUCGAAGCCAAGCGGAUCGGCAUGCGUACAGGUAGGUGGUGACCGAGAGAAGCGCUCUCAUCUCAUCUAACUGACAGCCGUUCUCUUAUGAAGGAGAUUUUUGGGCAUUCGUGAGGGGAUACGAUUCACACCCGAGAACACCUGAGCAAGCAAAAAAUCUAUCAGAAACCGUUUCUGUCUCCAUCGCCGGCACCAAUUCACACCAACACCUGCCGUUUGCCACCUUCGAUCGCCAUCCCAAUCGAUAACUUCCAUCAUCGUUGACUUCAGGCGACUUAUAGCCCUUGCCUCCGUCACCGUUCGCUUCCUUCAACUCCAUGCUGCAACCUCUCUGUUCGCCCCUGUUCCAUGGCGGGGAAAUCCGAAAAACUCAGAUCUCACUCGAGAUUUCUUCCCCGGUGCCGACCAUCAGCGAAGAUGCUUGCAGGACUUCAGUCCUCCGUUGGAUCAUUGUUCGUGACCACCUACUGCAUCUCCAAGUUCUGAUAAGGCGCUAAUGCGGUUUCAAAUGAGUGGCCCCUUAGCAAGUCUCCGCGAGGGUGGCCAAACUUUUCAUGGCGACCAAUUUGAGCUCAUGCCCCACCCCUGGGCAAGCGAGGGACUGUUUGCACUCCCAUCACCAGGCAAGGGUUGGUUGAUAAGGAUUGAUUGAUCCUCACAUGGUAGUCAUGAAGGCCAACUCGGAUAGUGGUGUGUGGUGGCACGGGCAAAGGCGCUUGCCCUCAUGGCAGGGCCUGAGGUUUUCGUGUAAAUGGCCGCGAGAGGGCCCUUGCUGUCCACAAAGGUCCGGUGUCGUCACCCCCAACCCCACUCUCUAUUCGUUCUAGUUUGUAGUCCAUUUUUCUGAUCGGUGCCUAGGAUCGAGUGUCCUGGAAAGUAUAAUAUAGAGUCACGUUGGAAUUUUUUUGUCGCUCCAAAUGAAGGAAGCUAGUCAAACUAUCUGAGUGUACCUUUUUUGGACAAAUUUUAGGGCUUUAUUACACAAUUUAAAGGUUUAAAAUUUAAUUGUACUUCAUUCCGCUAUGUGUUCCAAAAAAUUCUCACCAUCCACCACCAAUACAAAGCCAAAAGGGAGAAGGCAGAGCAAGAAGAUU